rnacentral:rRNA from 1 species
AAUCAACGCUGGCGGCGUGCCUAACACAUGCAAGUCGAACGAGAAAGAGGGGGCAACCCCUUGAGUAAAGUGGCGACCGGGUGAGUAACACGUGACUAACCUACCUUUCAGUGGGGAAUAACCUCGGGAAACCGGGGCUAAUACCGCAUAACAUCCUGUGGUUGAGAUACCGUUGGAUCAAAGGAGCAAUUCGCUGAUAGAGGGGGUCGCGGCAGAUUAGCUAGUUGGCGGGGUAAUGGCCCACCAAGGCAUUGAUCUGUAGCCGGCCUGAGAGGGCGCACGGCCACACUGGAACUGAAACACGGUCCAGACUCCUACGGGAGGCAGCAGUGGGGAAUUUUGCGCAAUGGGGGAAACCCUGACGCAGCAAUGCCGCGUGGAGAUGAAGUCCUUUGGGAUGUAAACUCCUUUCGAUCGGGAAGAUAAUGACGGUACCGAAGAAGAGGCCCCGGCUAACUCUGUGCCAGCCGCCGCAGUAAU